rnacentral:lncRNA from 1 species
ACACACACACACACACACACACACAGAGAGAGAGAGAGAGAGAGAGAGCUAUAAGUGAGCAAAUUGUCAUCCCAUCCCAACUACAUUCGAGAUUUAAAAGGUUGACAUUUCCUUUUUUUUCUUCUCUUUUUAAACACCCAGCCCUCCUCAUUAACCAGAUAUCUUUAUUCUCUAAAUAUUUACCACCCAAACAAAAUUUACAGUUUAAUUUGCUGUAUAAAAUCAUUUAUUGACUGAUAAACCUCAUUACUAAGCUCUAGCACAGCCCCUUCUACUCCCGACAGUUUUAAUUCUUGUAGCAGCAGGCUACUGCGAGAGAAAAACAAUCCUGUCAAAUUAACGGCAGGGGUCUAAAUUAUUCAAAUACACUAAAUCCAUGCAGAACCGUUCCCCUGCUCAUAAUUUUUCUUUGGGAGCCAACAAUUAACCGGCAAUAUUCUAACUUAAACAAUGACAGCCAUUCUAAAAGAAUUCUGGGAACAGUGACUGUUCCACCUUCCCAUGUGUCCUGCUCCUGAGGGCACACAAAGGAUGACCUUUGAAUGAGCCCCCGUAGAAAGAGGAGGUUUUCUCGGCCUAAACACCUCACCUCUUCAGAGCAUAAAUCCUCUGUGUCUUUCUUUCCUGCCACCCAGGUCAGAGACUGCUUUUUGGAUAUCAAGAACAAAGCUAGAUGUCUGGAGAUGAAAUUGAAGAGCUGUGAUUCGCCUGGAGAAGGUAGACAUAUACAGAACUUUGUAAUCUAUUUGCUAAGCUAAAGUUAUUUGAGACACUCUGGUUAAAACAGUCGCCAAAAUGAUGUACGAGCCUAGUGACUCCUCUUGAGAAACCAACUCUAAAAUGCUAUCUAUUCUUACUCUCAGAUACCAUUUUUUUUCUGUUUUGAAUAUUAAAACUGAAAGAUCCCACUGCACCUGGUCUUUGAUUUGUAUGUCUUUCAACAGCCUUUGGCUCAAGGUAAUAUAAUUCGACUAUUUUCUUUGGGAGACUACAUGUGUAACCAGGCCAAGCCAAAUCAACAAGUAUUUAUUUAGCACUUAAUAUGUAUCAUGAUUACAGAAGGUAAAUGCUUCUAAACCACUUGCUUGCUGUAUUAUCUGUUCUAAGACAACUGUUUUUUUUCCCUCAUUUUCUGUGGUAUUAUUGGCAAAUAAGGCUGGAAAAGAGAGCUAACAAUGGACUUCUGGGAUGGAAAACUUAAUUUCUUUCUCAGCAUUUUGGUUCACAUAAUAUUCUUAGAAAGCUCAAAUAUAUAGAAUUCAGGAAUUUUCACUAAAAAUAUUUACCACAGGAUUCUUUAUUAUUUCAAUUACAAAUUCUUUUAGGAAUACUUGAGAAUAUUAGAUUUAUCUAAAUUUGAUGUUGUAUAGAAAUCUAGGGUAAUCUUUUGUGUCCAAGGUCUACAUGUAUACACAAACACCCAGACAAUAGUUAUUAAGGAAGUAGCCCUUGCAUGUCAUUCUUACUAGCUUGAAAAUAAUUUCUCUCAUCCUUUGAUCCCCUUCUAUUGUGCUUUGUGUUCUGAGUGCCUUCUCUACCUCCCCUGAACUAGUGAGUUGUGUUUCUGAUUCCCUUUGCCAACCUCUAUUUUUAUCUGUCUAUUUUACACCCUGAUAAAUUCCUCAGAAUGGGGACAGUGUCUUAUUCAUUAUAAAAUUCUCCUCCUUCCCCUUUUCCUCCCCCUACCCCUUCCCCUUCCUCUCCUUCUCCUUCUCCUUCUGACAGAGUCUUGCUCUGUUGCCCAGUCUGCAGUGCAGUGGUACAGCCUCGACUCACCAUAACCUCUGCAUCCUGGAUUCAAGCAAUUCUCGUGCCUCAGCCUCUCAAGUAGGUGAAAUUACAGAUGCAUGCCACCAUGCCUGGCUGAUUUUUGUAUUUUUUGUAGAGACAAUGUUUUGCCAUGUUGGCCAGGCUGGUCUUAAAUUUGUGACAAGUGAUCCACCCACCUCAGCCUCCCAAAGUGCUGGGAUUACAGGCAUGAGCCACUGCACCUGACCUUAUUCAUUACAAAAUUAUUCUUUUGCUUAAGACAGAUACUGGAUAUAAGGUAUAAUCACAAAUACUUGCUGAGUUGACCUAAGGAAAAGCCUUAUUCGGAUAAAGGAUAUCUGCAAAAAUCAAACAACCAAAUAAUCCAUAUCAAAUAUUAUACUUACUGGUGAAAUAUUUAAAGCUUUCCAUUGAAAUUGAAAAUAAAGCAAGAAUGUCCCCUAUUGUGACUUCUAUGUAAUCUUGCAUUGCAGAAAAUUUGUGUUCAAUAAGUAAAGGAACACAAAUUUUACAAAUGCAGUAAGAAAUAAAGGAAUGUAACCAUCGUUAGCAGACAUUAACAUUAUUGAAAAGUAGAAAUCUAAAAGCAUCUACAAAUAAAAUAUAAGAACUAAGAACUGAAUUUAUCACGGUUGCUAAAUAAAGUCAAUAUGCAAAAAUUAGUUGUAUUUCUGUAGGCAGACAAUAAGUAACUAGAAAAUAAAAUUAAAGCAACUAUGGCAUUAACAACAGUGUCACACAAAUUAUUAGAAAUAACUUAAUGGAAGAUGUAUAAGACUUCUACACAGAAAACUAUAAAAUAUCAUUGAAAUAAAUUGAAGAAGACUUAAUAAAUAGAGGCACAUAGCAAUAUAGUGAUUAUUUCCAAAUGUACCUAUAUGUUCAAUACAAUCUUUAACAAUCGACACGUUUCUAUGUGUGAGUAAAUGGAAAAACUUCUAAAAUUUGCGUAGAAUUUUCGAGGGCUAAGAGUAGCCAAGACAACCCUGAAGAAGAAGAAAAAAAGUAGUAGAUGUAUACUAUCAAAUAUCAAGAAUCAUUACAAAGCUACAGUAAGUUAGACAGUGUAGUAUUGAAGGAAGGAUAGAAUAAUAAAGUGAUGCAAAGAAAAGAGGGUGUCUUAGUUCGUCUUGUGUUGCUAUGAAGGAAUACCCGAAGCUGGGUAAUUUAUAAAGAAAAUAGGUUUAUUUAGUUCACGGAUCUGUAGGCUGUACAGGGAGUGUGGCACCAGUGCCUACCUCUGGUAAGGCCCUCAGAAAACUCCCAAACAUAGUGGGAGGGGAAGGGGACUGAGAAUGUACAGAUCACACAGAGACAAAGAAGCAAGAGACAGCAAGGGGAGCAGCGCUACACCCUUUAAAAAAACCGGAUCUCCCAUGAAGUAACAGUGCAAUAACUCACACUUUACCACAGGACCACACCAAGCUGUUUAUGAGGGGUCCACCCCCAUGACCCAAACACCUCCUACUGGACCCCACUUCCAACAUCGGGAAUUAAAUUCCAACAUGAGAUUUAGAAAGGACAAAUAUCCAAACUAUUAUCAGGGAGUUCAGAAACACACACAUGUCACUCACUUUAUGGCAUAGAUGACCCUAGAGUGAAGUGGAAAACAAAACGGGCUUUUCAAUACAUGAUGCCAAGUCAAUUAUAUUAAUUUUGUCCAUGUGAACAAAAACUAAAUGUUCAUCUGAAAGCAAAUACAAAAAUUAAUUUCACAUGUAUAUCUAAAUGUAACAUACUAAAAUGUCUAGCAGUUAACGCCAAGUGAGAAUCUUGAUGAACUUAGGGUUAAAAACAGAUUCCUUAAGCUGAACUUAGAAAGCACUAACCCUAAAGGACAAGAUUAUAAACUGACUAAUAUUAAAAUUAAGGACUUCUGUUUAUAUUUUAAAUAUCCAUUAAAAGAAUGAAAAGAUAAACUAUAAAAUGGAUAUAUUUGCAAUCAUCUAACAAAGGAUUUAUAUCACACACAUACACACAAAUCAAUCAAAAGACAAAGCAAUAUAAAAAUAAAUGAUAUUUAAAUGGUUAUAAGCAAAGUAAAGCCACAGUAAAAUAUCAUUACUCAUCCACCAGAAUAGCUAAAAUGGAAAACAACAAGCAUUCUCCAGGCUGCAGAGUAACGGAAGCACUCAUGCAUUGCUGGUGGGAGUGAAAAUCGAAGCAGCCACUUUGAAACAUUUUCAGCUUUUACACACACAUACUCUGUAACCCAGCAGUUUCACUCCUGGUAUAUACAUACAACAAAAUGCAUUUAUAUGUACAAUAGAAGCCUCACAAAUAAGAGUGUUUAUAGAAGCAUUAUUUGUAAUUACCAAAAACUGAGAGCAGGCCAAGUGUCCCUCAGUGGUAGAAUGAAUAAACGUUGUGUUAAUAUA